rnacentral:lncRNA from 1 species
GGAGGUCUGGGGAGCAGACACCUCUCCCUGAGACUGAGCUAUGAGGUAUAUCUCUAAGCCUAGGAGCCAGGCUAAGAAAAAAGAACAAUUGUUAAUUAGGCUUAAGUGUAAAAUGCCUGAAUCUACCCAGAAAUGACCAUGACUAAUUUUCUGCCAUUAUGAGGAUUGGAGAUUCCAAAUAAAGGUAAAAUUAUAUAAUGGAACAAUUAAAAAAGUAAUAUUCUGUGCACUCUACGCUGCUUGAAAAAUUUGUAUAUUUAUAUAUUUUGUGUAUUUACACUUUUGAUUCCUCUAUUUCCUUCUCUUGAUGAGCUGGCUUUAUCCUGAAAUGGAUAAAAGAACUAUGAUUUCAAUUUCUCCUUCUUUUUGCUAAGUUACUUAAACACGCCGUGUUGGUUUGCCUAUCACCAAAGAGCUGGUGAAACAAAGAUUAGUUUCCCACUUCGUCCUCUUCCCGGAUACUUGCAGACAGCAGCGUCAGUGUAUUGUUUCGCCUCUCCGAAGGUGGCUUCGGCAGAGCCCUCCGGAGCUGGCUGUAGUUCCCGGAGACGCCACGAGGUGGCAAUGUAGGUCUUGGCUGGCCAGCUGCCGGCUAAGGUUGAUCUGGUGGGGUCCCCGCGGAGCCUCAGCGUCCUCUCCGGCAAAAUAAAUGUCCGUCGUGCAGGGCAUAUUCUUCGGGAAGGACUCCUGGGAGCUCAGGAGUUUGCAUACGAAGCCGAGGGAGCCAGGGGCUUCUGAAAAUGAUAUUCAGCGUCGAACGGAGUCGCUCAUAGGCAGAGCCGGAGUCUCUCCCAGCUUUGAUGUAUGAGAUUAUUAUGGAGAGUAAUGCAGGCCGAGCGAUGCGCGGGGCAGGCUGUGGAUGUGGAUUCCUCUGUGGAUUGCGAGGCUGGCCGCCACAGGGAUGUCGCUUCCCAGGGACAAAGAGCGAACCUGAGUCUGUGAGAAGGAGAACCCGGGACAGACACUGAUGAGUACCAGCAGUUAAAGACGGGAUGAAGAAUAUUCAAAAGAGGGUGAGAAGAAUCAGGUGAGACGCAGUGGCUUAUGCCUGUAAUCCUAGCACUUUGAGAGGCUGAGGCGGGCAGAUCACCUGAGGUCAGGAGUUUGAGAUCAGCCUGGCCAACAUGGUAAAACCCUGUCUCUACUAAAAAUACAAAAAUUAGCUGGGUGUGGUGGCAGGUGCCUGUAAUCCCAGCUACUUAGAGGCUGAGGCAGGAGAAUCACGGGAGGCGGAUUUUGCAGUGAGCCAAGAUCGCACCACUGCACUCCGAACUGGGUGAAAGAGCGAGACUGUCUGAAAAAAAAAAGAAAAAAAGAAAAAAAAAGAGAAUGCAAAGGAUCAGCCUGUUAAGUUGGAGGAAAACUAGAAAUUCAUACUGAAGCAUUAUCCUUGGAGCAAAGGGAGGCCGUAGUCAGAAGUGUUAC